UGUGGAAAUAAACAAUUUCAAUUAAUAAUAGUAAUGUUUAAAAUGUGUAAAAUAUUUACAUGUAAUAUUUACACAUUAUUUACUACUAUUAAUUGAAAUUGUCAUAUAAUAUUUACAUUCUACAU